CUAUUGGAGUCAAAGUAGCUGGCAGGGACAGCAAGAGGUGAAACAGAUUGCGCCACUCCAGCAGUUACCGAAUGUCGGUUUCCUCUGCUGCAUGACUUACUGGUAUAAAGAAGGCGCUUCAAGUGUAAUAAAUCCGCAAACCCAGCCCCAGUUCGUGGUGCUUGCACUGGAGGUGCGGCCUUUAAUUGUCACAAUCAGGAAGGGCUGCUUCGUAGACGGAGCAAAAUACAGCGGCGACGGGACGAUUGAACAAGCAUGGUUAAAAGAGUCGUCGGACGCCAACGUCAACGUGUCUACCUUCCGUGACUGGUCCUCUUAGGAACGCGGUAGACGGAGCCGCCGUACCGGCGGCCGCCGCCCGUCCGGUGGAAGUGCCGCCUCACGAGGGUGUGGAAGGUGAAGUUGACGUAGAGGCGGUCGCAGCGCGUGCCGGUGGAGCAGACGGGCGAGACGUUGCGCGCGACCGCUCUCGACGGCAAUGACGCUGGGUGGCGCGGCCACGGCGUCGGCGGAUGCGACGGAUCCGACCCAGCAGGGCAAGGGUACGUGCGGCACGUCGGAGGCUUGCUCGGCUAUAGUAGCGGAGGAGAGUACGUGCCGCCCUACGGAGGCAAGGGGCGCGUCCGCGGCGGCGGCGGCGCGCCCGUAUAGUACGUCGUAGUGGUCGGCGGCGGCUUGCACGUACAGCACGUCGUCGUCGUCGGUGGCGGGCUCGGAUGCCAGCAGAAGCUGCUGCUGCUCGUCCACCUCGGCCGGAGGUCCGGCGGUCGACUGCUAUGUGGCGGUCGAUGUAGCUUGCCCCGUCACCAGCAGUUGUGCGUGCGGCUCAUGCGCCAGCAGCGGGCCCUGAGCAGGUCGCUGUUGAAGCGGCACGAGCACGUGCAGUUCCGAGGGCCCUACCGGCUGCGGCACCGCCGGCCGUCGCUGUUCGGCGGGGGCGCGCGCGGCGACCUGGAGCACUGGCACGAGCUGCAGUCGCCGUCGUACUCGCCGGUGUUCGACCGCGACGACUUCGUCCGGUACGCCAAGCAGUAGCUGUUGGAGCCGGGGCUGCUGGCGGAGAGGCAGCACAGGAAGAGGAGGCUCCGCGCGGCCGACUGGUCCGAGUGCGCGUACAGCCUGCGGCCCUUCCGGGACCGGCACUCGCGGCACCUCAGGGAACGCCGCGCGCCGCCGUGGUUGUAGCGGCUCCCCGAGGCGUGCCGGCGGUUCCACGAGCUGCUCGCGGCCGUGUCCUUGCGGCAGAGGUCGCAGCACGAGGAGAGGCUGCCUGUCCUGUGGAUAUGGUACUACUCCGCGGCUCCCGGCAGGCCGCAGGUCCGGUCAUUGAUGCUCCUCGAGCAGGGCGGGAGGAAGCGCGCGUGCCCGCGGCUGCCGCUGACCAGUCGCGGCUAGGUGUGAAAGCCGAAGCCGUUGCUGGUGCUGCGGCGGCGCUACGUGCAGUAGCGGCUCCGCUGUCCGCCGUGCAAGAGCAAGUAGCUCUUGCUCCGCCACUAGGUCCUGCGCAAGCGCGUCACGUAGCCGCCCGACGAGAGGCAGCACCAGGUCCUCCGCGCGUAGCGGCAGAGCACGCACGUGGGGCCCCAGGCACAGCACAGGUAGUUCAGGCCGGCGAUGCUCUCGGCGCAGCUGCUCCUGCCGGCCCGGCGCAGACAAGCUCAGCCCCUUGAGAUGCGGCUGCUCCUCUCCGCAAAGAACGACAAGGACCGGCACGGUUCUUGGCUCCGCUGUCUGUCGCUGUGGUGACGAGACCACUUUCACCGGAAGUCGAUGUCUUUGCGCCGCUGGCCGCGCCUCCACUCGCACUGCCGGCUCCUGUGCCACCACCGCUCCGGUCUCGUGCGCGGCCUGUGCAGCCUCGCGAGUCACCUCCACCUCGCCCUCGCGCAGGCCCACCUCCGCCGUCUUCUGUAGCGCCGCCGCUCCCGUCGCCGCCUCGCCCCUCUCGUGGUCCUCCGCCACCUCUAGGAGCUCUUGGCAGUCGCCCGCGACCUCGUCAGCCUCCGCCGUCCCCUGCCGCUGGGGUACUAGUACCGCGACCCCCGGCUCGACGUCCUCUACGCGCCCGAACACAGCUUGGCCGUCUCGAUGUACUCCAGCCCCGCCCGCAUGUACGACCGGCCGUACUCGCGCGUGGUCGUCGUCGCGCGGUGGAGGUCCGUCUACGACCUCGGCCUCCUCGUCGUCUGCAACUACUCCCGCGCCUGACCUCACUCCUCCUACUAGUCUUCUCACCCCAGCUCGCCGCCCCCUAUAUACCGCCGCCGCGGUCACCGGCUCCGCAGCUUGCUCCGCUGGUACAGCAUGCGCUGCGGCCGGUACGCGCGGUACGACGACGCGAGCGCACACCACGCACCCCGCAGCUGGCUCGUUCCCGUCGUCCUCCUCGGGUACCGGCCUCUUCUUCUACGGCCCUCGAGGCUCGGCUUCUAGGUUUGAGGCUUCCUGCACUUGGUCAUCGGUAAUACGCAUGCUUUACCUCAUGCUCCACAGUAAAUGUUGCACAAACCUGUUUAAACCACUAACAAAGAGAACACAUUGAUCAAUUAGUCAUACUGGUGAACAGGUACUUAAACAAAGACAAGGGUUUUCACGGUGGACUUUCAAAUGGCUAGACAAAAAAAGAACCCCCC
rnacentral:rRNA from 1 species